rnacentral:lncRNA from 1 species
GUCGGUAAUGGAAUCAAGGGGAUUUUUAUUAAUUGUUUUUUGUUUAAGGUGUUAAAUUUGUCUGGAUUUUAAAACCUGGAUUUGUGCUUGAAAAAAAAUCUUUUGAUAACUUUCUUUUAGUAUGCUAAUCCCAUAAUGAGGUGGGAAGUGCAAUCCCUUUAUAAAAAAUGAAUCAUCUAAAAGAUGUUUUUGCUAUUAUCAUCUGUACUAAUUCAAAAAAAUCUGAAAGAUAAAAGAAAAUCAUGUGGUUAUCCCCCAAUAUAAGUGGAAGGCUAAAUGUGACAAGAUUUUAUCCAGGUAUCUUUUGGAAAUUAUUCAUAGCACUACCUUUCCCUAUUCUAGUAUCUCUCAAAUCUCAGAAUAUGCCAUAUCGUAACUUGGGUAGAAUCAGCAAGCUUUUGGUCAAAAGAAGCAGUUCUAAACUUGAGCUCCCAAACCCUGUUGUCCCCUCCACAAGAUAAGUUUGAAAUUUUGGAUGAAUCUUAUAUUGGAACUGUUAUAGACCAAGAUAUAAGAAUAAGUCUCAUUGUAGAAAAAUAAAUAAAUAGUCUGCAGAUAGUCCUCAACCUAUGAUAUUUAUGAUUUAUUGUAUUUAUGAUAUAGUCAAUAAAUUCUAUGAUUGUUCAGUGCAGUUCCUAUGUGCCAGUCCAUGUGCAAUAGUAUAAUGUAUCAAGGUUGUUAUUUUUGUGCCUGUUUCCUGUAGUUUCAGAAUUUUCUUAAGUUUAUUAUGAUAACAUAUAGUGUCCUAAUAAUGAUUGGUAAUGGGAAAUUCAUAAA